CCAGAUUUUCUAAAUUCAGAUUUAUAUUCUUAACCAUUAUGUUAUAUUGGCCUUGUCAUAGGAUAGGCAAUGAAAUUUGACAACAAAGCCAAUACUCAAAAGUUAAAAAUAGUAGGUUAAAGAUUUUGUAGAGAGAAUGAUAUGGACUAGUUAAUAAUCUAUUAGAGUAUUUGCCAUUGGGACUUCAUUGUUUGUGUUUCCUUGUAUGGCUGUGUUGCAAUUCGUUCUCUUCUUACUUCAUAUUUCCUACCCAUAUACUGAAUUAGCCAGAGCCCAACGAAGAAAACAAUAAUUCUUCAGAUCUGAAACAGGAGGAAUUUAUUAAACAGCAGGAUAACCAUGGAAAAACUGAGUUGCCCAGGAAACUGUAAGGAGAGUGAGCAAAUGAUCCUGGGGGAAUAGACGUUUCGGCAAAUCUUUCAACAGGUGUCUGUACUUAAGAAUAGAAUAAUAGUCUUGGAGAUCAUGGAAGUCCUGUUGCUUGAAUGAUGGAAAACUGUUGGGAAUGAUCAAGGAAAUGGAAUCUGAGAGAUUCAUGUACAAGAAAUUUAUUAGGAAGUAUUCUAGAAAUCAAUACCUAAGAAAGGGAAAGAAAAGAAGCAGAAUUGGAUAG
rnacentral:lncRNA from 1 species